GCCAUGAGAACUAUUUGUAACUGGUUGAAAAUGUCUAAUGAAACUCCAGUAAUUUCAAAUCGUGUGUGAUCGUUUGCGGUAUUUUUCAUGGAACACUCCGUUUUCCAUCAUCAAGUUAAAGUUGAGAAUGCUUGUUAAUGAUUCUAGAACACAUCACGAGUGUUAAAAUAAGUCAGAUUCACAAAAAAUAAUUGGGAAAGUUUUGUUUUGAUUUUAAGCGGAAAUAGCACGUGUAAAUCUAAAAUAAAUAUGGUGCGAUUGUGCUGAAAAUCCGUACUUAAAAGAUAUCACUAGAAUACGACUUUGAAAGAAAACAAGUCCUUCCUUUAGUAAAAUACUGUUAAAUCAUCACAUUAAUGUUUGAAGGAUCUUGGCUUAAACAAAACAUAUGCGUCAGGAUGAAACACCAAAACAGAACGAAUAACCAAUUACGUUUUGAGGUUUAUACAUCGUUAUGCAAAAGCUGGUUCCCGGUUGACUUAUACACUUUUUCAUUCCAUUAAAUGCAAGCGGUUUCCAGUUUAUGGUAUGCAAUGCUAUGAAAAGAAACGAGAAAUUUGAAAUGAAGCAUUUAAUUUUGAUAUCAUUAAUCAGUUAAUAUUGGAAUUUUGAAUCAAAAUUACAUAUUAAUAUGGAUUAGGUAAAGUAUUAGUUAUAACAAGCAUUCUUUGAGUAUUGCCUGGCAAUACAUAGUCCCCUACCGGUUAAAAAUUCAUUGUACUGGAACAAAAUGCUAACUUGAUCUAUAACUUGUCAUGGUGUAAACUAUAUAACAAAAUCAAUCAAUAUCUUCAAGCAUGACGAAAAAAAAUUUGGAACAUUGAUUAUUUGAGUGAAUUUUCUAAGUCCAAGGACCAUAACUCUGCACAAAUUCAUCAGACCGGAACAAAAUUCAAAGUUGGUCUGUAACUUGUCAUGAUGAAACUAUAUACCAAUCAUCAAAUCAAUAUCUUCAAGCAUGACAAAAAAAAGUGCUGAAAACUGAUUAUUCUAGAACGGUAAAAGUGACGCCACACAAAUUCAAACUUGAUCUGUGUUUUGUGGUAAUAAGCCUUGUGUAUAACUUUCAUAACAUUUGGUUGAAGCAAACUAAAGAAAGAGAAUGGAAACAAAAAAAUCAGCAAUUUUUCCAUUUGUAAAGGGGCAUAACUCUAGAACGGUAAAAGUGACACAACCAAAAUUCAAACUUGAUCUUUGUUUUGUGGUAAUUAGCAUUGUGUAUAAGUUUCAUAACAUUUGGUUGAGGCAAACUAAAGUAAGAGAACGGAAACGAAAAAUUCAGCAAUUUUUCCAUUUGUAAAGGGGCAUAACUCUAGAACGGUAAAAGUGACGCCACCAAAAUUCAAACAUGAUCUGUGUUUUGUGGUAAUAAGCAUUGUGUAUAAGGUUUAAUAAUAUUUGGUAGAGGCAAACUAGAAUUAGAGAACGGAAACGAAAAAUUCAGCAACUUUUCCAUUUGUAAAGGGGCAUAACUCUAGAAUGUUAAAAGUGACGCCACUUGUUGGAACAAAAAUGGACACAAUAUUCGCGCUUGAUACAGGUCUGAAUUUGGAUUGUAAUUAAAUAUUUGACACAUAAUAAGUUUCUGACACAGAAUAACUGUAGAAUUGGUUAUAUGAUUUGAAUUUAUAUUCAAUUUUUUGCUUUUGUGCAAUACACUUUGCUGUUGUGAAUUGACCCCCCCUCCCCCCACAAAAAAAUAAAAAUAGUUUACCCCCCUUUUUUUUGCUUUUGUGCAAUACACUAUGCUGUUGCGUAUUGCCCCCCCCCCCCCC